UACAGAGGGUGCGAGCGUUAAUCGGAAUUACUGGGCGUAAAGCGCACGUAGGUGGCUUGGCAAGUCGGGUGUGAAAUCCCCGGGCUCAACCUGGGAACUGCAUUCGAGACUGCCUUGCUAGAGUAUGGGAGAGGGAAGUGGAAUUUCCGGUGUAGCGGUGAAAUGCGUAGAUAUCGGAAGGAACAUCAGUGGCGAAGGCGACUUCCUGGACCAAUACUGACACUCAGGUGCGAAGGCGUGGGGAGCAAACAGG
rnacentral:rRNA from 1 species